ACAGAGAGGAGGGGAAGUGGAGGUGGUGGUGGUGGUGAAUUGAAGGGCGGGAGCUGUAUUAAUGGUCCACUUUAUUGCUUUGUACUGUUAAAAUUAAGAGCUCAGAUUUCAUGACAGCACUUUGACCGUACAUGCUUGAUUUCUUCUUCCAGCCCUGGUUUUAGUUACUGUUUCAGUCUGCAGUGACCCGAAAAGAAAGUCAACCAGACGGCUGCUGAGUGAUGGGACUGAAGCCGGAGGAGAUGACAGGUUUCAUUAAGGAAGACUUGUGGUUCCCAAUCUGAUUAUUACAUUUACUGUACAGUACUUAAAGGUGCCAUAUGUAAGAUUCUUAAGAAUUUUACGGUUUUAUUUUCCUGUAUGAAUCACUGUUUUUCACCAAUGCAUAAACUGGUUGUAGUGUAGCGACUUCCUCUGCUGCCUGUGGACUGAUUUCUUUGUGUUUCUAUGUAAGGAUGAGGGUCAAAGGAUGUGACGUUUAUGCUCCCGAGUUCCUUCUCUCUCCUCUUCCCUACAGUGUCAACAGUGGGCAACACUAGCUAAUGCGCAGAAUUCACAGAGAUUGGUUGAAUUUUAAUUAAUUCUUGCGAUUGCAACAAAUUGAUGGCUAGGUUGCAGCUGGCUGGCUAACAUUUGCUUGAUUGCUCGCUGGCGUUAUCACAAGCAAAAUACUGGUGUUGGCUGAUGGGGUGAUUUGUAAACGGCAAGCUAGUUAGUAGCAUGGAGCUAAUGGUCAAAAUAAAAUAUAGUACCCUUACAGAUAGUGAUGUUAUUCUAAAUAUGAUUUUCAGUUAUUUUACAGCAUUCAGUGUUUGUCACUGUUGGCCAACGCCCAGGAUGCUGACUGCAGUUCACUGAACGGCCACUGGUGGGCGCUGUUAACUUUAAACAACAUUAAAAAUGUUGACGUGAUGAUGGCGCUAGAUGAAAAGUCAAAGGAUCACCAAAGUUAUUACAAAUUAUCCUCUGGGGACCACGAAAUGCCUGAACAAAAUUUCAGAACAAUCCAUCAAUUCAAUCAAUGAUUACAUGCUUCGGUGUGUAAGCACCCACCAAAAAGGUUGAACGUUGAGGAAGGCCGGUCAAAAAAUAAAUAAAUUAUAAUAUAAAUUGGAGCAGUAUUAUUAUAAAAUAAACAUUUUAUUUGAACAAAACAAUACUGGAUCAUCUUACUAUGUCACUGGAUUAAAAGUAUCGGUAUAUAGAUUUGAGUAACAAUACACUGAAAUUAUUAUUGAGUUUCAGUCUAUUGUAGUUGUAGCAUACUGUGAAAAUGGUAAAAAAUUUCCCAUGGUGCACUGAGCUCCUCCCUUCCUCUCUCUUUCUGCACUCAUUCAUGUUCCAUUAAUGCAUGUUACUAACUUCACUUCUUCCCCGGAGUUCUUGUGCUUUCUCGUCUCGCAGGUUCUCAUGGAUCCUGGUGGAGCCUCCUGCCAUGGUCCUGCUAGACUGCCAUUGCUAAUAUCACUGAUAUUAUUGUUGUUAUUAUUAUUAUUAUUAUUAUUAUUACUACAGUUACUAUUAUUACUAUUGUCACUGCUCAUUGUCCUCCAUCGUUGCUGUUGUCGUCGUCAUCAUCAUCUUCAUGUUCAUCAUCUUCAGUCACUACUAUUAGUGUAGUUGUUGCUACUGUUGUUGCUGUGCAACUGUCUGUCUGUCUCUGUCUCUCUGUCUCUCUCUCUCUCUCUCUCUCACCCCAACAGGUCGAGGCAGACGACCACCCACCUAGAGCCGGAGGAUCUGUCCUAGGUUUCUGCCUUUUAACAGGCAGUUUUUCCUUGCCCUUGUCUCCAAGGUCUUGCUCAUGGUGGUACUGUUGGGUCUCUGUAAAUAAUGUUAUAAGGAGUUCGGUCUAGACCUGCUCUAUUUGAAAAGUGUCCUGAGAUAACUUCUGUUAGGAAUUGGCCUUAUACAAAUAAAAUUGAAUUGAAUUGAAUUGAACAGACGACGAGUCGGACAGACGAGAGCAGACAGACGGUGGACGUGGACAUGGAUCAGCUGUUGGUGCUGUUGCUGUUGCUGUGGAGCUCAGGACUGCAGACUGAAGGAAAACACAACUCAACAGGUUGGUGGGAGGAGACAGUCGCUGUGCAGGAACACUGGAGGUGGAACAUCAGAAUGAAUGGAGACCAGUGAUUGGCUCUUACUGGACCCUGAAGGAAGCAGCUGUUGUCUGCAGAGAACUGGACUGUGGUUCUGCUGUUUCUGUAGGAGAGAGAAAGGAGUCCUCAGACAGAUCUGUGUUGAAGAUUGAACCUGACUGUGUUCACUCUGGAUCUGCUUUGAGGGAGUGUGUAAGAUCAAAUUCCUCUCCCUACACCCUGCAUCUCAUCUGUUCAGAUCCAUUACUUCAUCAUCACUUCAUCAGAGUGGUCGUCCUGCUGCUGACUCUGCUGGUGGUGACCACCGCCCUCUAUUUCUACUGUAAGGGGCCAGAAGCCGGGCAGACAGGAGAACAUUGAGUUGGAUGAUUAUAACCUGGGUGUUCCUGCAGCUGGAGGAGGUCCGACUGAAGAGGAAGGAGCUCAGGGAGCAGAGUAGGACCUCCAAGGAGAUCCUCUCACAUCCACAUGGAUUCACAGCUGACACACAGCCAUCAGCUAAGUCCAGGAUUUUAUAUUUUUAUCCUCAUGUUUGCUGAAAUUAUUAUAUGACUUUAUAUUUUUAUUACUCUGAGCAUGAAAAGACCAAAAACAACAACAUGUUGUCUGUCUCUCAAUACUUUGACUUCCUGUCUGUGGCUCUCAGCUCCAACCCUGUUUGUUCCUCCUGAAGACGUACAUUUUUAAAAACCUCACAAAUAUAAAUGUCAUUAGAAAAUUAAAACUGCAAGCAGUGAUGAUCGGGCCCUUGCACUCCACGCAAGGGAGAAUCUGUACUGUAGUUAGGUUUAGCAGUAGGGUUACGGUUUCCAUGUCAUAUCAAAGCUGAUUUUUUAAGGCACGCCACAGACACACGGUUUGACCGAACGUACAGAUAUUAAUAACGUAACCUCCUAAACCGCUCUCUCAUGUCGGUCGUACGUGUCUUGCGCGCUGAUUUGGGUGGGUGGGGCUUAGCCAUUUGCCGGUGCCCAUGCACUAAAUGCACAAAUGGAUACGUCGAGUUUAACCAUGUUUGAUUUUUUUUUUUAGUGCUUGAGCGAGGGAAAGUGUUCAAAUAUGCAAUUAAAGGCGCAGAAAAAAAUAAAUAAAAUUCCUACAAUUAUAAUAGGUCCUUGCACUGGUCAGUGCUCGGGCCCUAACUAGACUUGAAUGCGGGAAUACUGAGGUCCAAACGCCCCAGUUCAAAAGCAAAGACACACUGACCCAGACUGGUUUGUCAUUUUGGAACAAUGUUGGCCAAGUAAUGUUAAAUAUUCAAUGAAAAUAAAAGUGAAACAACGUCAUGUAUCUAAAUCUGUUGUUACACCAGUUGUAACCAUCUAAUUUGAUGACGUUUGAACAAUUCAUACUUUGCAGUCAUGUGAUUGCCAUGGUUACCUGGUGGUAGGGUGGCCAUUUCCUUCACAUCAAAAAGGAGGACACUUUACAUACACGGGGACACGCAAGCAGAUAUUUGUUUGGUAUGAUCCGGUUUUAAAUGUUAAUGUUUUUCCACCAGAUUACAUAAAGGUGCAUACACAUACCACAUAGCUAAUAAUAAAUAUACAAGAUACAGCUCAUGACAACGUGCCCUUCCAAUUCAGAUUACAUAGGUCUAAUAAACAUCAUACAGAAACUGUUCUUAAUGUUUUUAUCUGGAUUGAUAAAGGGCUUUGCCUAUACAUAUGAGUAUGAGCAUUUUCAGUAUUUCAGUCCAACAACCGACGUUAGCUCACGUUACUUCGCUGUCCCUAAGAGUUUGAUUGACAGCCUGGUGGUAACUUAGCAACUGCAGUGAGCCCUGUUGUGGCAAUCAACACAUGGCUCAUUUGAAUAUUUAAAUGAGCCAUGUGUUGAUAGGUCACUACGAAAAUGUAACCAAUGAAAUUAUUUAUUUUGACACACAUUUUUAGCCAAUAAGUAUUAAACUAACGAGGUAAUGUGUCAAAAGGCCACAUUUUUAGUUAUUUUCUCAAGAGGAGGACAGAUGAGUGUCUGCUUGAGGACAGGGGGUUUAAAAACCGGACUGUCCGACCUAAAGCCGGACGAAUGGCCACCCUACCUGGCGGGCAAGAAACAUAUAUAUUUACAUAUAUCCGUCACCUUACACAAAAAAUGAAAGCCUACUAAAGUACGGAUAGUUAUCUUGUUUCAAGAGUGGAUGGGUUAACAAUGCUGUCGUAUGGGAGGUGAAAACCAGGAAUAUCUUCAUAAUCAAAGCUAACGUGAGUGUUACUAGUUGUUACCUGCUAAUGUUUGUAUGUCUGUAGCUAUACACAAAGUGACAUCUGUUCCGUCUGUGAUGAAGUCUUCAUCUGAAUAUGGACACCCUGUCUGCCGACGAAUGACAGCUUGAUAAGUAACAUUAGUUUAAAAAUUUGGUUCACAACAGGUAGCCAACACAUACACAUUCGCACAAAAAACAUAAAAACAUGAGAUGAUAAAUAAAUAAAAACAUAAAUACGCAUGUACACUAUAUAUAAAUAAUAAUUUUUUAAAAAGUGAAAAACUUUGCUGUGACAUGGGCAGGGAUGGAAGAUUACCUUUAGUUUGUUGAGAAACCCAACAGCUGAUGGUACAAAUGAUCUCAGGUAUCUGUUAGACCUGACACGUUUUCCUCUGUACUGUAGCUGUACUGUCCUAGCUACUUAGUAUUAUUGUGAAAUAGAUUUUUAUUAGAGAUAAUUUGUGUCAAAUUAUUGGUCUUCACUGAAACUUAUGAAAUAAAGUUAAUAUUACCAUCUUAUGAAUGAUAUAUAAUAACAAUAUGUUAUUAAUAAUAUAAAUAUUGUUACUAUUAUAAGAAUCAAAUAGUAUAGAUCUCUGACCUGUGUCUACAGCACUGACUGAUCACAAUUGUAUUUGCGUUUCCAAAGCAAGACAAAUUAAUCUCCAAAAAGGCUGAUGGACUGGACCAGCAUUGACCAUGUAUGGGAAGCUGUGAAGUGGAUCUGAAAAAUAUGUGCAGCAAUCCAGAGGGCCGGAAAGAGGCUACAGAUAACUACAGUGUCAUAAAUAAACAUUAAGAGUUGGUUUGACAUCAUACUAGAGUCUUCCAAAGCAAGACAAUUAAAUCUAAAACAAAGCUUGAUGUAUUUCCAAAUUCAAACUGGACCAGCAGUGAGCAUGUACAGGAACUGAUGCAUAAGUUCCUGUACAUGCUCACUGUUGGUCUAGAGUGCCCCGAGAUUUUUACAGAAUCCAUUUGUCUCAAUGUUAAUUAAUAUUAUAUACCUGGGUUGGGCUUAUCAACAGC